rnacentral:rRNA from 1 species
AGUGAACGCUGGCGGCAGGCCUAACACAUGCAAGUCGAACGGAAGCACAGUAAGCGCUUGCCCUUACGGGUGGCGAGUGGCGGACGGGUGAGGAAUACAUCGGAAUCCACUUUUACGGGGGGGACAACGUAGGGCAACUUACGCUAAUACAGCAUAUGUCCUACGGGUGAGAGCAGGGGAGCUUCGGACUUUUCGCGAUUGUAUGAGCCGAGGUCGGAUCAGCUAGUUGGCGGGGUAAAGGUACAGCAAGGCGACGAUCCGAAGCUGCUCCGAGAGGAUGGUCGCCCACCUGGGAACUGGGCCACGGCCCAGACUCCUACGGGGGGCAGCGGUGGGGAAUAUUGGACAAGGGGCGCAGGCCUGAUCCAGCCAUACCGGUUGGUUGAAGAAGGCCUUCGGGCGGUAAAGCCCUUUUGUUGGGAAGGACAAACAGCUGGUUAAUACCGCGCGGUUCUGACGGUACCCAACGAAUAAGCACCGGCUAACUUCGUG